rnacentral:rRNA from 1 species
GACGAACCGUGCGAACGUUAUUCGGAAUCACUGGGCUUAAAGCGCGUGUAGGCGGGAGGGCACGUCCGUCGCUGAAAUCCCCCGGCUCAACCGGGGAACGGGCGCGGAUACGACCUUCCUGGAGGGGCGUAGGGGGACCUGGAACUUCCGGUGGAGCGGUGAAAUGCGUUGAGAUCGGAAGGAACGCCCGCGGCGAAAGCGAGGUCCUGGACUGGUCCUGACGCUCAGGAGCGAAAGCGUGGGGAGCGAGCCGG